rnacentral:rRNA from 1 species
UACGAAGGGGGGCUAGCGUUGCUCGGAAUCACUGGGCGUAAAGGGUGCGUAGGCGGGUCUUUAAGUCAGGGGUGAAAUCCUGGAGCUCAACUCCAGAACUGCCUUUGAUACUGAAGAUCUUGAGUUCGGGAGAGGUGAGUGGAACUGCGAGUGUAGAGGUGAAAUUCGUAGAUAUUCGCAAGAACACCAGUGGCGAAGGCGGCUCACUGGCCCGAUACUGACGCUGAGGCACGAAAGCGUGGGAGCAAACAGG